rnacentral:rRNA from 1 species
CAACAGCUCAAAUUUGAAAUCUGGCCCUCGGGUCCGAGUUGUAAUUUGCAGAGGAUGCUUUUGGUGAGGUGCCUUCCGAGUUCCCUGGAACGGGACGCCAUAGAGGGUGAGAGCCCCGUCUGGUCGGACACCAAUCCUUUGUAAAGCUCCUUCGACGAGUCGAGUAGUUUGGGAAUGCUGCUCUAAAUGGGAGGUAUAUGUCUUCUAAAGCUAAAUACCGGCCAGAGACCGAUAGCGCACAAGUAGAGUGAUCGAAAGAUGAAAAGCACUUUGAAAAGAGAGUUAAACAGUACGUGAAAUUGUUGAAAGGGAAGCGCUCAUGACCAGACUUGGGCUUGGUUGAUCAACUUGGGUUCUCCCGGGUGCACUCUUCCUCGUCCAGGCCAGCAUCAGUUCGCUGCGGGGGAUAAAGGUUUCGGGAAUGUGGCUCCCUCGGGAGUGUUAUAACCC